UACGUAGGGUGCGAGCGUUAAUCGGAAUUACUGGGCGUAAAGCGUGCGCAGGCGGCUUCGCAAGUCAGGCGUGAAAUCCCCGGGCUUAACCUGGGAAUGGCGUCUGAAACUACGGAGCUGGAGUGUGGCAGAGGGAGGUAGAAUUCCACGUGUAGCGGUGAAAUGCGUAGAUAUGUGGAGGAAUACCGAUGGCGAAGGCAGGUCUCUGGGCCAUAACUGACGCUGAGAAGCGAAAGCAUGGGGAGCGAACAGG
rnacentral:rRNA from 1 species